rnacentral:rRNA from 1 species
AUUGAACGCUGGCGGCAUGCCUUACACAUGCAAGUCGAACGGCAGCACGGGGGCAACCCUGGUGGCGAGUGGCGAACGGGUGAGUAAUGCAUCGGAACGUGCCCAGUAGUGGGGGAUAACCCGGCGAAAGCCGGGCUAAUACCGCAUACGACCCAAGGGUGAAAGCGGGGGACCGUAAGGCCUCGCGCUAUUGGAGCGGCCGAUGUCUGAUUAGCUAGUUGGCGGGGUAAGAGCCCACCAAGGCGACGAUCAGUAGCUGGUCUGAGAGGACGACCAGCCACACUGAGGAUGGGACACGGCCCAGACUCCUACGGGAGGCAGCAGUGGGGAAUUUUGGACAAUGGGCGCAAGCCUGAUCCAGCCAUGCCGCGUGCGGGAAGAAGGCCUUCGGGUUGUAAACCGCUUUUGGCAGGAACGAAACGGCGCAAGCCAAUACCUUGCGCUAAUGACGGUACCUGCAGGAUAAGCACCGGCUAACUACGUGCCAGCCGCCGCCGUAAUAC